rnacentral:rRNA from 1 species
AUUGAACGCUGGCGGAAUGCUUUACACAUGCAAGUCGAGCGGCAGCGCGGGGGCAACCCUGGCGGCGAGCGGCGAACGGGUGAGUAACAUAUCGGAACGUACCCAGUCGUGGGGGAUAACUAUCCGAAAGGAUAGCUAAUACCGCAUACGUCCUGAGGGAGAAAGCGGGGGAUCGCAAGACCUCGCGCGAUUGGAGCGGCCGAUAUCGGAUUAGCUAGUUGGUGGGGUAAAGGCUCACCAAGGCGACGAUCCGUAGCGGGUCUGAGAGGACGACCCGCCACACUGGAACUGUGACACGGUCCAGACUCCUACGGGAGGCAGCAGUGGGGAAUUUUGGACAAUGGGGGCAACCCUGAUCCAGCCAUUCCGCGUGAGUGAAGAAGGCCUUCGGGUUGUAAAGCUCUUUCAGCAGGAACGAAACGGUGGUCCCUAAUACGGACUACUAAUGACGGUACCUGAAGAAGAAGCACCGGCUAACUACGUG